rnacentral:rRNA from 1 species
AUUCUGGUUGAUCCUGCCAGAGGUCACUGCUAUCGGGGUUCGAUUAAGCCAUGCGAGUCGAGAGGGUUCAGACCCUCGGGGACUGCUCAGUAACACGUGGAUAAUCUGCCUAUGGUGGAGGAUAACCCCGGGAAACUGGGGAUAAUACUCCAUAAGUCAGGAGUACUGGAAUGUCUCCUAACUGAAAGUUG